GCCUUCGACGUGGCGUUUUCUUCGGUUUCACUUCCGGUGGGAAGGAUAUGUGCAAGAUAAAGCAGCCAGGGAUUUAAGUCUGGCAACAGUUGGACUGCUGGAUUUUCAGAGAAGUGUUCCCCAAAGCAAAUUAUGGUGCUAAUUUCCAAUAUUCCAUAAGCGUGGCAAGAAAAAUGGGAAGUUCUCGGUAAGGUAUAUAGUAUUAUUUCUAGAAAUAAAGAUGAACCAAUCCAAGAUUGAUUUUUUGUUUGUUUAAUCCUGGCAGUAUUCUUAACUAAAUCGUAUUCAUUCUUCCCUUUAGUUUCCAGACUUUUAAAUUUUAUUUAUUUAUUUAUUUUUUGAGACAGAGUCUCGCCCAGGCUGGAGUGCAGUGCCACAAUCUUGGCUUACUGCAACCUCUGCCUCCCUGGUUCAAGCGAUUCUCCUGCCUCACCCUCCCAAGUAGCUGGGACUACAGGCACGUGCCAUCACGCCAGGCUAAUUUUUGCAUUUUUAGUACAGAUGGGGUUUUACAUAUUGAUCAG
rnacentral:sRNA from 1 species